rnacentral:lncRNA from 1 species
UUUUGCAACUAAAGUUGGCGAGUUAAAUACUUUUUAGUUUUGCAACGAUUAUUCUUGUGCAUUUUUUUCUUGGUCUCCAAGUUCUGCAGAAGCUGCCAGGGUUGUGUCAGUUAUUCCAGAGGACAACGACAAGAUUAUUGUCACAGUUGUAAAUGAGAAUGAAGAAUGUGGCCAGGAAGUCGUGAGUAUUCGUGACUUUGUUGGAGUCGAGUUGACGUUUCAAGUGUUAGAGGAUGCUGUGGACAGCGUAGCAUUUUGCAGGAC